GAAAUGCGAUAAGUAGUGUGAAUUGCAGAAUUCAGUGAAUCAUCGAAUCUUUGAACGCACAUUGCGCCCCUUGGUAUUCCAUGGGGCAUGCCUGUUCGAGCGUCAUUUGUACCCUCAAGCUCUGCUUGGUGUUGGGUGUUUGUCCCCGUCUCCGCGCGUGGACUCGCCCCAAAGUGAUUGGCAGCCGGCGUACUGGUCCCGGAGCGCAGCACAUGUCGCGCAAACGAGUGCCUUGGUACGGCGGCGUCCAUAAGCCCCUCUCUCACGCUCUUGACCUCGGAUCAGGUAGGGAUACCCGCAGAACUUAGGC
rnacentral:misc_RNA from 1 species